AGUGUCGGCAAGGGCUCAGCAAAGCAAGCAGCUAGCAGUCAGAAUACACAAAGGGAAACCGAAUGGUUGAGUGAGGAGCUAUUUUUAUUGGAUCACUCUUCAGAGUUGGACUGGCCUUUACGUUUUUCUGGUGAGAACUGACAUCAUGCAUCUCAGCUGUUAGUGUCCCAGAUGUAAAGUGUAGAUGAUGCUAUGACAAUAGCUAUGAUCAAAAUGAUGGAACAAGUAUUGGUGCCUGCCUUCUCCUUUGUUUCAUGUGGCUCAUUUGGUUUCACUGAGCUUUCUUGUGUACAGGACCAGAACCUUACACUAAUUAGUGCUUCCUUCUUGUUUGGGUGACUAAUUGCGUACUGAAACAGCCUCAAAGAAGUAGCAUGCUUUACAUGCUGAAUUUCUGCAACUGAUACUACACUGGAUGCUACUGAAGUACACAAACUCCCUUCAAAAGCCGUCUUUGUCUGGAAGAAGUGUGUCAGGCUGCAGACUACCUUGUGCUUACCUAGCUUGUCUACCUGCCUUUUUUAUUAUUUUUUUUAAAAGCUCUUCUCCAUUUCUAUUUGUUAUAGCCUCCUCUGGCCUGUUUGAUAAUGAAACUCAUUCUGCCCCCUCUGCACUGACACAAACUUUCACUCUACCUUCCUGAACUGAUUUGUAACGCAUGCCUCUUUACUGAUUCUCUUAUGGCUAAGCAGAUCUGCAAACCUUUCUCUGUUUUGGUCUGUAUUGAAUAAGAACAAACACUAAUUUAUGUAUUUAUGUGCAUUUUUUUCCAGAUGGCCUAUCUAAAUUCU